AUGCAUUAGGCUCUGGGGACUUACCGGUGAAUGAAAUACAUGUAGUCUCUGCCAUCAUGGAAUUUUUAAUCUAGUGGUAAAAGAGCAAUUAAAUACACAGCCAAGUGUGAUAAAGAAAGUUACAAUAGAAAUAUCCAACCAGGCUUUUCUAACCUAGACAAGGCCAGUGAUUCAGGAAAGGCUUGUCAAAUUAAGUGUUAUCUAAACUGCACGUGGAAGGAUGAAUGGCAAUUAGUGAGGCCAAGAUGACACCAAAAAGUUCCAAGUUGAAAGGACAAAACAUGAAAUUCAGGAGGUGUUCCCUCCACAAUCUUGCAUGAAUGGUUCACUCAAGACUGAUGUGACAAUAUUCCAGAAGAAGUAUUCUGCCACCCUCACUGUCAACAUCAAGCAAUCCAGAGUCUUUUAAACCAAUGUCUGCAUAUGGAAGAUUCAUAGAUCAAGCUUUGUGUUCCAGUCCUAAGAAUAAGGAGUUUUCUCUCAAUAUCUUGUUCAUGUCUGGUUGGGAGAUAUAACCAAAAUAUUUUUGACACUUCCACCUUGAAUUUUUCUAGCAGUCAUAUGCUAAUUAACAAAGUGCUAAUUUCACCAAUAAAAAUCCACUUCUGACAUUCGCUAUGCUAAUUAGUGCAAUAUCUUUAUCAGAGACAAAGAUAGCUGAAGUGCUUGCUUGUAGUAGCCUCCUCUGGAGUGUGGCCUUUCACUGUCAGCUAACAGCCUCCCACCUGCCUCUUGGGGAGUGAAUUCCUGAUUAGAAUGCUAGUUGCACCAGGGGUGCAAUGUCAACUAACCAUCCUUAGAGCAUAAGAUCUAUUCUGAUACAUUUUAUGUAAAUUACAGUGUGGCCUCUCUAAGUCCUAUAAAGGAAACAAAACAGGUUAGUGGCUUGGAGGUUUUUUUUUUUUUUUUUUUGAAGGUCUCUAGGAGAAGGACAGUGGGACAGCGAUACCUAAAGAUAUUCAAGCUAAUAUCUGAGUUUAGAGAGCAGCUAGACUUAAGAAUAUUUUGGUGAAUUGCAUUCCAGACAGAGGUAAAAGGAAGUGCAGAGGUUCAAAUGCAAAAGUGAGCUUGAUGUGUUCAAGGAAUCGGCACAAGUCCAGUGUGACUAGUGCAGUGAGACACCAUCAGAAGGAGGGCAGAUGGGAUCAGGAAUAUGAGGAGAAACUUGAUCACUGAAGGCCAUGUUAAGAAACUUGGAUUUUAUUCCAAAUGUAAUGGGAAUUUAUUGCAGAGUUUUUAGUAAGGGAGCAACAUCAAAUUUAUAUUUUAAAAGAGGUCUCUGCUGAGUGAGGAGAACAGAUUGCAGGUGGGUAAGAGAGGAAUCUGUGAGACCACUUAGGAAGCUUUUGUGGUCCAUAAAAGAGAUUAUGGUGGUCUAAUUUAAAGUGGUAUUAGUGAAGGUGGAAAUAAAUGAACAAAACUGAGGAUAUCUUUGGACAUAGAGCCAAUAGAACUUAGAGAUGAAAAGAAAUUAGGAGGCAGAAUGAAGGUAAAGAAAACAAAAGCUUAGUUUUGAGUUUCCGCAGCUAGAUUGCUUGUGGUACCAUCUACUAAGAUGCAGAGGAUUGAGGGAAAUACAUACUUUUGGUGAUAGGGUGUGAAUAGGGUAUUAAUAUCAUAGAAAGAGAUCAUCAACAUGUAUAUUAGGAACUACUUGUAAGGUCACAAAUUCUAAGCCAGUUUCUUCCACUAAGGCUAAUAAAUUUUUUCAGAGUUUGUAGAAAUUUCUAGAGGUACAGUAAAGCCUUCAGUAGCAUCAUGCUAUCCAUGCCUUUCAGCAGUUCUGCAAUUGAUAAUCCUAUCCUUCUUAAGACUCUAAAAGCUUUGUGAAAAUGAAAUGUGGUUCUUCAUAUAAAGACCGGAAGCCCUACUAGAACAGUCACAGGCCACAUGACAAUUAUUGAGAGAAGGGAUAUAUCACAGCCUUCAGACACGGAAGAUAUGGGAUCAAAUUCUGUCUCUGCUCCUGAUUCACACUAUGACUUUGGACAAGUCUGGAAGUCUCAGUUCUCUCAUUUGUAAAAGGGAAAUAAUCUACAAAGUGAACAUUGAAUAAUGUGUGUGAAACUUUUUAAACUGGGUAAAACUGCUAUAAUCUUUGUUACUACUUUUAUUACUAUAAAAAAACUCCCAACAACACAAGCCUUAUUUCUGAAUGUAGUAAAUAUGAAACCCACUCACUGAGACUACUAUGUGUAAGGCCCUUAUUUUACAGACUUUUCUAUGUAUAAUUACCAAUUUUAACAAAAAUAUCUUCUCCUGAGUCUUCAAGAAGUGAGCCUGGAUAAUAAAUCACAUUAUCUCUUAGCUAACAAUGAUUCAAUCUGAAAUCACUCAAUCUUUACAAAAAUUCACUGCACCAAAACCACCUGGGGGGCUUUAAUAAAACACUGUUUCCUAGGCCUUACCCUAGACCUGCUGAUAUGGUUUGGCUCUAUGUCCCCACCCAAAUCUCAUCUCAAAUUGUAAUCCCCACGUGUUGAGGAAGGGACCUGAUGGGAGGUGUGUGGGUCCUGGGAGAGUUUCCCCUAUGCUGUUCUCGUGCUGGUGAGGGAGUUCUCACGAGAUCUGGUGGUUUGAUAAGUGUCUGCAGUUUCCCCCAUGCUCUCUCUCUCUUGUCUGCUGCCAUAUAAGAUGUGCCUUUCUUCCCCUUCGCCUCCUGCCAUGAUUGUAAGUUUCCUGAGACCUCCCCAGCCAUACCAAAUUAUGAGUCAAUUAAACCUCCUUUCUUUAUAAAUUACCCAGUCUCAAGUAGUAUCUUUAUAGCAGUAUGAAAAUGGAGGAAUACACCUGCAGAACCAGAGUCCUUGUGAAUAGGACCCAGGAAUCAAUAUUUAUCAAAUACUCCCCUGGUGAUGGUGAUGCAGCUGGCCCACACUCUGAC
rnacentral:lncRNA from 10 species